CAGCCUUCAUGAAGAGCCCAUGGCAACUCUGUGGGAAUCCUUCCAGCAGCCCGCUUAUGGCUGGAGACAGAGGUGUGGCUUCUAUCUAAGCUUUUCCCUCUGACUCAGUCCAGGAGGCAACUGUCUUGGGAAGCAAAUGAUAACAGCAUCUGGGAGAUUCUCUUCUGGAUGGACUAGCAGGGAAUCAGGACAUGAACUCAGUGGACUAACUGCACCGAGACUCACCUGGUCAUUACUUGAAGGUCAUUACUUAAACCUCCAUGAAUCUCCUGAUGAACUCCCUCAGAAGGUGGAAGGAGCACCUGACACCGACCCGAGAUCAGCAGCAGCUACGCCCACGCUGUGGGCAGUUAAGAGGCAGCCAGUGGUACCAGUCGUGAGCGAUCAGAUUUGAGGACUCAGGAUUCUGGUUUCCUGAGUGUCAUGGACCUGCGGGCUGCAGAAAUGACAGCGACAGGUCUUCAGGCAGGUGCCACAGCACCCACACACUGCCAGCAUUUUGUGCAAAAUACCCAAAGCCACAUCACCAGAUCUGGGCUCUCCUAGCUUCCCUUUGCUAAAAUGCUGGCCAAAGAGCUUAACGAGCCACUCAGGGGCACAAGAUAGGUGAAACCUGCAUGUUUUGUUUGUUAAACUAUUUGCCACAUGGCACAAGAAAAUAACAAAAAAUAAACAAAAGGAAUAACUGCAGCAUCAUGGUUUUGUUAAGAUGUCCCAAAGCUGAUCAGGGCUUCCUGUUGAAAUCUAAAUGAGACUCUUCCUAGGUGGCUUACAUUCAGUCAGCUGUGGCUCUGUGCAAAGAAAACCAGUUUCCCUUGCUCAGAAAUUUGGAGCCACUGAUAAGAGAAGAAAAGUGUGAUUCCACAUGGAGGGUCAUGAUACAAUCUGAUCUCUGACCCCGUGGAGGUGAAGGGGCUUGUUCUGCAUGCCAGGCUGAGGACUCUCGGGACUGAGGCAUUCAGAGUCGCAGCUUUAAAUCAUAAGGGUUCCCUGCCCAUUUCAUCACAAGUCAGCAGCAUCCAAAGAGUGGCGUUGAAGAAAAUCUCAUCACCGUGGGCUCAGUUUAGAUUGCUAGUCGGCUCAGAAAGCUACCUGCAAUUGCGUUUCCAGGAUGCACCACAAAUACUCUCCACAUGAGGGAGAACAUCAGUGGAUGAAACUCAGCAUGCUUAGUGCGGGGCCAAGUCCUCUAACAAAGGACACAGCGGUUAACCUGCAUUUCGAGGACAGGCACUGUCAAGCCCUCAUCAGGGAUCCAUCCAGAGAACUUUGGUAAUUCUUGCAAAAUCCCUGUAUCACACAAUUUCCUUCCUUAAUGUGAUGAAGUGUAACGGACACAUCUAUAAAGCUUCUUCAGUCCUGCAAUGCAUAGAUGAGCAGAAGGCCACAAAGCCAGGUCAUAGCACUCUCUACCAUCAGAAUGGAGCCUGCCUGAAUGUGAGCUCAGUGAGAGGCAGAUUCCAUUCUUGGGCCCGUCCACGGUGACUUGUCUGCUCUGCUCCAUCAUCCACUUAUUCACAAGUUCUGGGGCAACAAAGGGCACGUUUUGUUUCAUCUUGUGCCAAACCCUCGAUGUGUACUCACUCACUCUACCUCAUCUCAAGAACUUCAGGGCUGGGAGUGCAUUUGGAGAGAAGGCAUGUGCAAUAUCUGGAAGCCUUAGCACAGGUGGGUUAUACUGAUGCUCUAUAGCCAAACUAUAGGAACUUGGGUUCUAAGGCCAGCAGGCCCAGGUGUCACCCCAAUGGCUCCCUUCAACAGCAGCAUAAAUAAGUCAUGUCAGAAGAACUCACAUUAGCCAUCUCCAGGACUCAUUUCCCUCUCAACAGCAGGAGCUCCUGCAGUCAGAACAGCGGUAAUUUUCAAAUCAGGCAUGUGGUGAUGCAGCAGGAAAGUGCCUGCAUCCCAGGUGUCCCAGCAGCUUUCUGGAGACCUCUAAUACCCACAUCUGCACCACAAAACUGCACAGCAUUGAGUGAUACCAAUCUUCUUAUACAUAUAGGUAAGUGGUAAUAGAAUGCCUCAACAGCAGACCACCCAGGAACCAAAGACAUACUGGAUUUUCAAGUCAGAAGAAUGCUUAGAGAUCAUCUGACCCAAUAGCCAUAUUUUACAGUAAGAUGCAGAAGCCAGUGUCCACAGUGCUAAAGCCACUGGUCCAAGGUGAAAGAAUUUCAAACCCAUAAAUACCUCCAAGAAGCUUCCACUGGGACCCUAUGAUUUUAGUAAAAUUAUCAACAUUCAUGACCUAUGUCUACUGAUCUUAGCGUCUUCUCAGUAGGCAAUUAUUCUUUCUCACAUCAAUUUGCAGUUGCUAUAUUAUCAGCAUCCUUGGUAAAUCCAUCUUGUGUUCUGGGUGAAGACUAACAGAUUCUUCCUUCUUGGACUCUGUCAUUCACUCUCAUCCCUCAUAACAUCUGGCCACUGCUCUAAACACAGUGGCCUUUGAGAAAUGCUGCUGAAUUCUGACUAAGAAAGAGGAGAACUUUCAAAUACAAGAAAGUGAACAUUAUAGAGCUUACCACUCAAGAUGGUUUUCUACAAAUGCGGACAUGGGGCUGAUCUGCACCGUGUAAGUAUCAUUUGCCGAGUACUCAAAGAGUCCAUAGUAAGGGUUGAAGAGCUCCUGAGACAGAAGGAAGAAGAACUCCCGCGAGGGGCCACUGUAGUCCAGGCUGCAAAGAAAGCAGAGGUCCAGGAAGCUCAUUCUGUGCCCGGAGGUGGGGGGACCUGUUUGCACCCAGAUUCUAGUGUGCCCUUUCAGAGUUGGGUGCUGGGGAAAGCAGAGAGCAGCCUCUGCUCUUUGGAGUGAAUGCCAAUGGCAGCAUCAAUUUGCUGUAGAAAAUGAGGAUGCAGUAAUUGGUUUGGAGAUGUUUCUUAACCAGAUGUCCAUGAAUAAACUCUUAUGGCAGCUUUAAAAAAAAAAAAAAAAAAA
rnacentral:lncRNA from 1 species